CAUUCCAAAGAACCGGCAUGUUUAGAAGUCACAUGGGCACUGAGUACACGUGGCAACGAGUUGUCGGAUGAGCUGUCCAACGAUACCAGGAGGAGGAGAGAGAAAGAGGCGUGCAUGUGCGGUUGUUUCGUUCGUGCACCCCAAGCACCGGCCUUUUGUAUGAUGUAUGAUGCGGGCACGUUAGGCGGUGCGACACAUACGACCAACAACGCCAGCCAAAACGACAGAGCUAGAGAGAG
rnacentral:lncRNA from 1 species